AAAUCAACCGAGAUUCCCCCAGUAGCGGCGAGCGAACGGGGAGCAGCCCGGAGUCUGAAUCAGCUUGUGUGUUAGUGGAACGGUCUGGAAAGUCCGACGGUACAGGGUGAUAGUCCCGUACACGAAAGCACACAUGCUGUGAACUCGAAGAGUAGGGCGGGACACGUGGUAUCCUGUCUGAAUAUGGGGGGACCAUCCUCCAAGGCUAAAUACUCCUGACUGACCGAUAGUGAACCAGUACCGUGAGGGAAAGGCGA
rnacentral:rRNA from 1 species